rnacentral:rRNA from 1 species
GAGACAGCAGCAGCCGCGGUAAUACGUAGGGCGCAAGCGUUAUCCGGAAUUAUUGGGCGUAAAGAGCUCGUAGGCGGUUUGUCGCGUCUGCCGUGAAAGUCCGGGGCUCAACCCCGGAUCUGCGGUGGGUACGGGCAGACUAGAGUGAUGUAGGGGAGACUGGAAUUCCUGGUGUAGCGGUGAAAUGCGCAGAUAUCAGGAGGAACACCGAUGGCGAAGGCAGGUCUCUGGGCAUUAACUGACGCUGAGGAGCGAAAGCAUGGGGAGCGAACAGGAUUAGAUACCCCAGUAGUCCCUGUCUCUUAUAC